CUUGCUUCUAUGACGUUAGCGGCGGACGGGUGAGUAACACGUGGGCAACCUGCCUGUAAGACUGGGAUAACUUCGGGAAACCGAAGCUAAUACCGGAUAGGAUCUUCUCCUUCAUGGGAGAUGAUUGAAAGAUGGUUUCGGCUAUCACUUACAGAUGGGCCCGCGGUGCAUUAGCUAGUUGGUGAGGUAACGGCUCACCAAGGCAACGAUGCAUAGCCGACCUGAGAGGGUGAUCGGCCACACUGGGACUGAGACACGGCCCAGACUCCUACGGGAGGCAGCAGUAGGGAAUCUUCCGCAAUGGACGAAAGUCUGACGGAGCAACGCCGCGUGAGUGAUGAAGGCUUUCGGGUCGUAAAACUCUGUUGUUAGGGAAGAACAAGUACGAGAGUAACUGCUCGUACCUUGACGGUACCUAACCAGAAAGCCACGGCUAACUACGUGCCAGCAGCCGCGGUAAUACGUAGGUGGCAAGCGUUAUCCGGAAUUAUUGGGCGUAA
rnacentral:rRNA from 1 species